rnacentral:rRNA from 1 species
AGGUCACUGCUAUUGGAGUUCGACUAAGCCAUGUGAGUCGACUGGUUCUUCGGAACCAGGGCGAACGGCUCAGUAACACGUGGGUAAUCUACCCUCAGGACGGAGAUAAUCCCGGGAAACUGGGGAUAAUAUCCGAUAGGUGGAGCGGUCUGGAAUGAUGCUCCGCUCAAAUGCUCCGGCGCCUGAGGAUGAGCCUGCGUCCGAUUAGGUUGUUGGCGGUGUAAUGGACCACCAAACCUAAGAUCGGUACGGGCACUGAGAGGUGGAGCCCGGAGAUGGGGACUGAGACACGGCCCCAGGCCCUACGGGGCGCAGCAGGCGCGAAAACUCCGCAAUACGCGCAAGCGUGACGGGGGAACUCCAAGUGCGCCUACGUUCAGUGGGUGCUUUUGCAGAGUGUAAAAAGCUCUGAGAAUAAGAGCUGGGUAAGACCGGUGCCAGCCGCCGCGGUAACACCGGCAGCU